rnacentral:rRNA from 1 species
AUACGGAGGGUGCAAGCGUUAUUCGGAAUCACUGGGCGUAAAGGACGCGUAGGCGGGUUGGCAAGUCAGAUGUGAAAUCCUACAGCUUAACUGUAGAACUGCAUUUGAAACUGCUAACCUAGAGUAUGGGAGGGGGAGAUGGAAUUAGUGGUGUAGGGGUAAAAUCCGUAGAUAUCACUAGGAAUACCGAAAGCGAAGGCGAUCUCCUGGAACAUAACUGACGCUAAGGCGUGAAAGCGUGGGGAGCAAACAGCAUUAGAUACCCUAGUAGUCC